rnacentral:rRNA from 1 species
GUGUCAGCCGCCGCGGUAAUACGUAGGGGGCAAGCGUUGUCCGGAAUCAUUGGGCGUAAAGCGCGUGUAGGCGGCCAGGUAAGUCCGUUCUGAAAGCCCGGGGCUCAACCCCGGGAGGCGGAUGGAUACUGCUUGGCUCGAGUCCGGAAGAGGCGAGUGGAAUUCCCGGUGUAGCGGUGAAAUGCGCAGAUAUCGGGAGGAACACCAAUGGCGAAGGCAGCUCGCUGGGACGGUACUGACGCUGAGACGCGAAAGCGUGGGGAGCAAACAGGAUUAGAUACCCGCGUAGUCC